rnacentral:siRNA from 1 species
GAAAUGUCAAUACUGUGGUGCUAU